UGUUGGGCACACAACUGCGUCUCCAACCCAUCCGAUGGAGAGGCACAAAUUCAUGGAUUGGCCAAUGAGAUAUGUAGAUUGAGACAAUAUGACGCUUCAGAUAAAUGAUGUGCAUAAUUUGGACCAAUGGCAUG